AGAGAUAGUAGUUAUAGGAGUGAUUGGUGUUCUCUUAUGAUAAAUCCAUCUCGAAAUUAUUCUAGAUUUCUGAAGGAUUCCGAUUGUUCUGAAUGAAAAAUAUGGUGAGAAUAGAAAGAAGAUCCCUUCAGCUCUUAAGUUUCACGAUGUUCCUCCCAAACAUGUGCAGCAAUGAACCUUAGUAUAAGGUGUCUCUUCUUCUCAAUCCUAUUGCAGUCAGUGUCCUCCGAAAAGGUUUCUCAUUCCUUCCUCUUUAUUGUGCACAUGUGUUUUUUAUUGUCUCAAUUUUUGGAUAAUUAGGUGAGGUAAUAAAUGUGUAAAGAAUAUAUAUAUAGUGAGCGUUUAUGUUCUCAAUACUUAGUGAGUAUAUAAUUAUUGGAUGAUUUGUUUAAGUAUAUCUUAAUACAAGGUUGACGCGUGAUAGGAUGUGGCCGAGUUUCGUUUCGUUGCUUAAGCACAUCAAAUGAAUCUCUAACAUGAAAAACCAUGUAGAUUCUAGGGUCAAAUCUAGGUUUUGUGUUCAAUUUUUUUUUUUUUUUUUAUCUGCAAGGUUGUGUUCAUAAGAAGCAAGGAAUUUUGAGUUUGUUCAGGAAGAAAGCUCACUUAAUUUUGAGUUUGUUAUUGAUUAGUUGAUUUUUUGUUUCAGGUCUAUAUCAUUUUGCUCAAUUGAUUGAAAUUACUUGAGAGAAAUAGUAGUUAAGUUUUUUAGGAGACUCAGAAACACUUUCAUUGGAAAAUGAUAGUUAAUUUUGUUUUUUUACAUUUUUGAAUAGGGGACAUGUCCUUGUCGAACAAAUUGACACUUAAAAUUAGUUACUGCAAAUUUUUUAAUUCUCUUGAGCGAAUUAUGAUUCAUUGACCAAUAUUCUAUCUUCAUCCACCUAAAACAAGAAGAUUAAGCAAAAUUAGUGAAAACUUAUAUGAUUAAAAAUAAUUGACUAAAUAUUCUUUUCAAAAACACUAAAAGUAAAAAAAUAUAAAUUACUAAACUAAAAGGAAAUAUAUAUAUAUAUAUGUUCAUCAAUAUUCCACACCCUCCCAACUAAACUUGUAUUGUGAGGCUCCGAUAAAUCGAGAAGUAAAUUAGGGAAGACGAUUUCUCGGGCAGGUUAGACACGUCUUAAUAUCAUGAUUAGGAAGUAAAAUCUAAUUAAACACUAAAACUGUGAUUAAGGGAGUGUUGGGCCUGCAUUAAUCCUAGCACAGAGAAAAGCCCACUAGAAAACUAUAAAUAGGAAGAGACACACACCAUACAAGAGGAGAAAUCGGAGGAGAAGACGGAAGGACCUGGAGGUGGAAGAACUUGAAACUUGAUAUGGGAUAUUCGGCCUUGUAUCUUGUAAGAACAUUUUGGCGCCCACCAUGGGGUCGAAAGGAAAUCCUAUCGAGAAAAUCACAUGGUAGCCACAAGAAACAUGAUGGGAAACGAGAAGUCAACCGCAGUGAAGAGUCACUCAGUUGACCCGAUAACCAUGAUGCUAGAGAUGAGAAGGGAGUUCAAAAACAUGAAACGCAAAAGUGUGAAAGAGAUAAAUGUACUAAAAGCCGAGAAUGAGAUGAUUAAAUGAAAGCUAGAAUUAGGAGGUACUCCGACAGUCCAAAAGGAUCCAAGAGCCAGACAAUGUCAAGAAUGGAAGGGGAGAAUAGCUCGCAUCCCCAUAGUACUAGACCGACCACGUUUGUUAGCGCACUAGGAAUGUUAUCUCCCAAGCAUCCCUUCACCGAAACAAUAAUGGAAGUAUCCCUGCCGCUUACUUGGAAGAGUAUAGCAUUAGAUAAAUAUGAGGGUAGUACGAAUCUAGACGAGCACAUAGAUGCUUAUGUAACCUAGGUCCUUCUAUACACAACUGAGAAUGCCCUCCUUUGUUUGUGUUUCCUACUUCACUAAAGGGAACCGCCUUGAACUAGCUCACUCGACUCCCCCCGCUGUUCAUAGAAUUCUUUGAUACCUUUGUAGCUAACCUUCAUCGCCUUGGUGAAUAUCCGAUAAGAGAAAUCAUAGUUGCUUCGAGCGUUCAUGGAACAAUUCAACAAGGUAGCCCUUACUAUAAGAAGUCUAAGCCCAUAGGUUGCCUUAUCCCCUCGUCACGGCCCUCAAGCCAUGUCCAUUCUCCGACAACUUGUGCAAAAAACGAGCUGAGAACAUGGACAAGCUAAGGUAAAGAGCAAGCAAAUUUAUGCAUCUGGAAGAACUCUGAGAGUUUAAAUCCAAAGUUACUUGGAAUACCAAUGUCCGGAGGGUGAAAAGGAAGCCUUGUGGAUGAUUCCGUCGAGAAGACCAAGAGAGUUCCCAAAGUCGAUAUGCUUUUUGCAAUACACCUCUUUGAUAGUGGAAUGAUCUAGCCUGGACGAAGCAUAAAUGUCGAUCUGAUAUCGACAACAAAAAGUGUUCGGUUUACUAGAGUCUAAGUUCAAGAAGGGGGUGAAUUGGACUUAUAAAUUUUCCGCAAAGAAAAACUAUUUUAAGAAAUCCUGACAGAAAAUAACAUAUUCAUUUAGAGUAAAACAGAUUUAUUUUCCGAUUCCAAGUAGUAGUUCUAGAAAUACAAUAGAUUUGUUUUAGAAACAACAAAUUUAAUUUCGAAUUAAUAGUUCUACACACUUGCAGAUUUAAAUGAUUAGCAACAGAGAUAUUAAGUGAGACCUUAAUUCUGAAAAGAAAUUUUCAAAACCUUUUGAAAGCAGUUUCAUAAAGAUAAGGAUCCUAGACAAGAUUGCUUAGUUGAUCUUUAACACUUGUAUUACUCAGUCAAAGAUUACAUAUACUAUGAAUGUUAAGCAAGAUCAAAGCCUUAUCAAAAUCUUGAAAACCAGAAUAUGAUUUAACCCAACAGCAGUUAAAACAACAUAUUCAAUUUUAGAACAACAUAUUUAUUUUAUCACGGAUUACCAAAUUUUAGAUUUAAAGUAGUGAUCAAGAAGAGAUAAAGGCUCACACAGUUUUAUGCCGGUUCACUCAACAAGAGAUACAUUCAUUCCCACCUUAUACCAAGAUGGAUUUCACUAAUGCAAAACAAUCUUUACGAACACUUCUUGGUUCUUGAACCCUCCAAGAACAAGAUUACAAGCUGAAAAACUCUAUUUUGGCAACACACGCACCUCUAGAAACACUAUCAAGAGGCACAAAUACAACCACUAUUACAAAAGAAAAAUAUAGGAAGGAAAACACUUGGACAGAGAGUUUGAAACAGGACCCUCACAACUACAACAAAAGACUUAACCAUGAAUCUUUAACCAAAAGUCACCAGCACAAGAGCACUUUAAGUUUUUAAGAAAAACUUUCAAAAACUAAAGUGAAUUUCAAACUCUUAGUAAAAGAACUUGAAAAUUGUAUGCAAAUCGUGAUUGCAAGGUGCGUUUUAACAUGAGAUCAACCCCUCCUUUUUUAGGUUUCAGAUCAAAAUAGAUUGUUAAAAAACAGUUAGAACUGUUAUAAAAAUAACAGAUUGAAGUUCAAAAGAACAGAUUGUUUUUUGAAAAUACACAUGGUGGUAACAUAACCACUUUCUGAUUAGUUGAUAACGGUAACUGUGAGCAAGAUUGAAUUUGAAAUCAAACUAAAUUUUUGAAAAAGCUUAACAGUUUUGCACCAAUACAAAAAGAAUCAAUUGUUUUUUCAAACAAAAAAUUGAUUUUUGUGAAGUAACUAGUUUUUGAAAAAACUUGAAACUUAUUUUGAAAAUACAUUGUAAGAAACCCUUGUGCCUGAGCUCAUCACUAUGGUUAUGAGAUAUAAGGUAGAUCAUAAUGCAAAAGGCUAUUUAAACAACUUCUAACCUAACAAGGACCACAAAGACAAUGUACAUCAGCCUUUAAGAAGAUUUUCUUCAUCAAACACUUUCUUUAUCCAAGUUGAGUAGAGUCUUCAUCUAUCUUCAACAAUCUCCCCUUGUUUGAUAGAGAAAAAUCCCCAUUGCUUUGAAGGGAGACUCAUGGCCAAGUCAAUAGCUUCUACAGUUUGAUAAAACAUACCAGAGCAUGCACAAAAAUUUGCACCUUAAAAAAAUAACAGAACAUACAAUACCUACAUACCUAAACUUCUUUUCCCCCUUUGUUUUCAUCAAACAGGGUUGGUUCACACAAAAAGCAAGCAAUAAUCAUACACGCAGAAUAGUUCAGGGAGAGUUUUAAAGUGCCAAAUCACAUUUCUGUCCAGAAUAAAAACCAAUGCAUAAAAAUUAGAAAAAGUCUAAAGAAACAAUUUAUAAAGCACAUAGAGGGGAAAAUCACUUGUCCCUAUAAUAGAGCUCUGCAAGUUGCUCUUGAACACCUUCAAGUUGAUAAUCUAGGUUUUGAAACCUAACCUGUGUAAUUUCAAAAUAAGCCCUCUAGUCAGUAAAAAGAGUAUCCAUGUGAUGAAGAACUUGCCUUUCAAAGCUGGAUAAGGGUUCACCCACGAUACUGAGGUUCAUGGGAUGCAACAAGUGCAUUCAUGUCAUUAGAAACAAAAUCUUAUUUCAUGGAAGGGGUUGGUGAAUGCAUCAUGUGGUUAUGCAUAACAAGAUGUCUCAGCAGCCUCCACUGUCUCAUCUUCCGCAUGUGGAGCAUCGUCAUCUUCAUCUGCAAGGGCACAAUUUGAUCAUGUUCCAUUCUUGGAACAACAUUCCUCCUAUACACCCAUGUGUUUUCCUCCUUCUGAAAACCCAUCUUAGUGAGAGUGGCAUUGUCUAUCUCACUCUCAGCCUUAAUAGUCUCAUUUCAUUAAUUUGUGGUGUCAAUCUCAAAAGAAUCGAUUAGUUUAGAUACAAAAAUAACAUAUGGGAAUUUGUAAUCUGUGAGCCUUUUGGAUUUCAACAUGUGUUCUACCAUGAUGUUGACCCAGUUAAUUUUAAUUCUAUUUAUAAUACAAUAAAGUAUAAAUAAAUCCUCUUCAUGAAUAACAACAUGGUUACUACCUCGGGGUGUUAGUUGCCAUGCAAUGACAUAAGCCAGGAUGCAAGAGGUUAAUUUCAGAUUACCUGCAUGGAACCUAUUCACAAGUUGAGCUGGAUUCCUUACACAACUUCUGUAGAACUGGAUUUUGUUGAAUUUCUGAAUUCCAAUUGUGUUUCCUUUGCUCACCUUCAGUCCUGAAUAUUUUGUCCACCUAUAUUGUUCCAAACUUCAUUUGAAAUGGUCAGUUUGACCCCCUUCACAUAUGAACCAAGAUUUCUUCCAUCUAAAGUAAGAUUAGUAUAGAAAACCUUUACCAAAUCUGGAUAUAUAUUUCCAGUCAUUUUCAGAAAAUGCUUUAGUCGUUGGUGUUGAUCAAGAGUGAUCAAGUGCUUUGUAGAAUCCAAAUCCAAGAUGUUUGAUGGAAGGCUGGUGUUGUUGUUGUGUUUGGGUGGGAUCUGGGUAGAGUAAAGUGUUAUCCACUCCCUUGUUGAAUCUAAAACUAAUGUGAAUUAAAACCUUUUUGAAACUAAGUGUUUUUCCAACUAAGUGAAAAACAACCUGUUGUUUUGUCGAAUCAACUGGUUGUUUUGUCGAAUCAACUGGUUGUUUUACCCUUAGGAGUUUUUGAAAAAGGUUGAAAGGUGUUUGGUUUGGUUGACUUAACUGUCAAACCAAAAUAAUCGGUUGUUUUGUGGUUUCAACCGAUUGUUUCUUUCAAAAUCCUAACAGAAUUCAGUUUUGAAUGUUGAAUCUAUUUUAAAUGUUUUCUAACUGAAUACGCUCCUUCAUUAAAUGCUUUGCCUAAUCUUUGGAAAAAAAUAAAUAGUUUGUUUAUGUUUUCAAAUAAGUAAGAAACAGUUUUGAGGAGUUCAGUUUGAUAGAUUUGAUCUUAAGAUUUCAAGAUUCACAUCAAACUUUGGAUUUUCAAGUGAGAGUGGAAUAGGAUUGCAAUUGUAUUCAAUUCAGAUAGUACUGGGAUCAUGUGUAAUCCUUUCUAAACCUAUUAUAUUUCUAGUGUUAUGUUGUCAAGGAGUGUUGUGUGUUCUUGAGGUGUUCAAGAUCAAUACUCUUGGUGUGGUUUGCCAAAGGUAGUGUGUUUUUUUAGGGGUUCAAGGUCACUACUUUGGUGUGUUUUGUUUUUGUAAUUUGGUUUGAUUACAUAGUGGUUUACCCAGUGGUUUCUAGGAACUGGAUGUAGCUCUUGGCUUAAGAGUGAACUAGUAUAAACUGUUUGUGUGAUUCUCUCUUACUCUCAACUCCUUUAAAUUUUGUUUUAAUCUAUUUGUGUUUUUAACUGGUAUGAACAACCGAUUGUUUCGAAGAAACAACCAAUUGUUUUUCUGUUGCUUUGCUGUAUAAUUGUUGAUGUUCUAAGCCAACUUGAUUCCUGUUCUGGAUUUAUACAUAGAUUUUCAUUAAACCUGAAAAAGCUUUCAAAAACCUCCUUUAAACAAUUCACCCCCCGUCUUGUUUAAGGCCAUAUAUUCUAACAGUUGGUGUUUAAGGAUAACUUUUUGUUAGUCCAAAUUUUCACCUUUCAGCCAAGAAAAUUCCAACACCUUUGGAACAUUUAUUUGGUUCCUGCUCAUUUCGUGCAUGAAGGUUGUCAUGGCUUCAACAUCUCCAGCAAACCAUUUUCAAGUAUACCAUGGUUACUAUUGGGUUGCUCUCGGGCUCUUCUCUUUUUGUGUGAGGAGGAUGCCAUUUUGAUGUUGCUUUAACUGCACAAAAUGAAGAGAAAAGUAAAGGAGCUAGAGUCUGUGUUAGAUAAGGAAAAUGAAAAGCUAUUAGUGCAAUACUUGAUAUAAAAACUAUUACAAAGUAAAGAGGUAAAUUGUACAGUUUAGAGAAAAUGUAGUCAAGUGUAGGAACCAAUAGAUUCAGGCAUAGAUUUAUAUAGAAAGAACAGGUUCAGGAGUUGGAGUGUGUGUUUUGAGAAAAUAUCAUGAAAACAGAUUUUUGUACAUAUUUUAUUCUUUAAUGUACAACUUUCAAUUAAAGAAAAUAAUAUGUUGGAAA
rnacentral:lncRNA from 1 species